UUUUUCCUACGGGGGGCAGCAGUGGGGAAUAUUGCACAAUGGGGGAAACCCUGAUGCAGCGACGCCGCGUGAGCGAAGAAGUAUCUCGGUAUGUAAAGCUCUAUCAGCAGGGAAGAAAAUGACGGUACCUGACUAAGAAGCCCCGGCUAACUACGUGCCAGCAGCCGCGGUAAUACGUAGGGGGCAAGCGUUAUCCGGAUUUACUGGGUGUAAAGGGAGCGCAGGCGGCGCGGUAAGUCUGAUGUGAAAGCCCGGGGCU
rnacentral:rRNA from 1 species